GCACAAGCGGUGGAGCAUGUGGUUUAAUUCGAAGCAACGCGAAGAACCUUACCAGGUCUUGACAUCCCGAUGCUAUUCUAGAGAUAGAAAGUUACUUCGGUACAUCGGUGACAGGUGGUGCAUGGUUGUCGUCAGCUCGUGUCGUGAGAUGUUGGGUUAAGUCCGCAACGAGCGCAACCCCUAUUGUUAGUUGCCAUCAUUCAGUUGGGCACUCUAGCGAGACUGCCGGUAGUAAACCGGAGGAAGGUGGGAUGACGUCAAAUCAUCAUGCCCCUUAUGACCUGGGCUACACACGUGCUACAAUGGUUGGUACAACGAGUUGCGAGUCGGUGACGGCGAGCUAAUCUCUUAAAGCCAAUCUCAGUUCGGAUUGUAGGCUGCAACUCGCCUACAUGAAGUCGGAAUCGCUAGUAAUCGCGGAUCAGCACGCCGCGGUGAAUACGUUCCCGGGCCUU
rnacentral:rRNA from 1 species